rnacentral:lncRNA from 1 species
UUCUUAGGGCUGCACCCACGGCAUAUGGAGGUUCCCAGGCUAGGGGUCAAAUUGGAGCUACAGCUGCCGGCCUACGCUAGAGCCACAACAACUCGGGAUCCAAGCUGCGUUUGCAACCUACACCACAGCUCAUGGCAACACCGGAUCCUUAAUUCAGUGAGCAAGGCCAUGGAUUGAACCCGCAACCUCAUAGUUUCUACUCAUUCAAAAGAGAGACGGAGGGUGCAUGCAUCAAUCUGCUCGCUGCUCAACAGGUGAAAUAGAAGUAGAUAAACAGUUUGUCCAAAAUCAGGAGCAUUGCCAACAACAAAGUUGAGAUUUCCCAGCUGUUGGUUGUGACUCUUCAUGUAACACGUAGGUCUGGUUUGAACCCUUUAGAGGCACGAGCUACCUGUGACACAGCCCUGGGCAGACCCUUGGGCAGGAGGACGGUGGGGGUGGGGGGUGGUGGCCAGGAGCAGAUGUGGGAAGCAGCAGGGUGACCUCCAGUGGCUCCCUUCGCUCCUUCUUGCCUUCCUCUGGCUUAAGGGAGCGGUUGCCACAACCGCCAAGGAAGCACAGUAUUUUCCCCUUUUCAAGCCACUCCUCACCAGAGCAUCUUAAAGUGCCCGUGUGCCCUCACUGACAUGCCUUCAUAUUUUGGGGGAGAAAUGAGGACAAAGAAAUGGAACCGCCUAUAAAAAAGGGAAGGCAGACAGAGCUUCCCAUGAUGCCAUGAGCCUCCCUCUCCCUUUUUCCCCUCACCAACCCAGCUAUUUUUCUCCGAUGCUGCCCCAGUCAGAGAAAGAGUCCAGACAAAAACAAAGGUCAGGCAAGGAGCAAAGUUCCCUUUCCCAUGUCCCCAGACCCACGUCCCUCAAAAACAAUCAAAUUUAAAGCGGAGAGAUUAAAUUAUCACUAAGCUAAUUAUGGGAAUCACACUUAGGCUGGCUGCCGGGAAGAGGGGUCAGCAGGCAAGAGGCAUUAAAAUUACAGGCAGAUGCAUGAAGCACUUAAAAAAGCAACUGGGAGACUCAUUACCGUCCUCCCCCCCGCCGACCCACCACCCACAGGGGAGAGAGAAACCACUCUGGUGUCUGAGGCGCUGUCCAUCUGGGCAAUAGUCAGAGCAUUUGACAGCUAAAUAGCUCCGCUCUGUCAUCAUCUUAAAGCCAAAGUGGGCAAGACAGAGGUAAACUGAUUAGAUGGGGUGCUGCUAAUUUCCCAGAGAGAACCGAGGGAGGUGGGUGGGGCUCAGUCCAAGAGGCAGAGCACAGGGAGGACCAGCCCCAGGCUUGAGUGCAAAGAGAAGGGUCUGGUUCCUGAGUGUGCAUGCAUGCGUAGGCAUCAGCGUGGGCGGGUGCCCCAGGUAUGCAUGGGAAUUAGGUACGCGGGCAUGUUUCUGAUAUGAAUAUGUGUGUAUGUGUGGGCAAGGCCACACAGUCACACAUGUGUGGGUAUAUCUCUUAUCCACCUGAAAGUAGAAGGUGAGAGCUUGGAAAGGACCAGAAGACUCCUUCUAGCCACUCUGCAACCGAGAACGCCUUACGAGCUUUCUAUGAUGGCCAAGGCCCACCCAAUCACUGCCACUAGCUCAGCCAUGAAGAAACCUAUCAUUUUACCCCAUUAUGGGUGCUCAGUGACUCCCCUGGCAUCGUCAAUAUGAUGUCAAUCUAAAACGUGUCAGCUAGAAAACUGGCAAUCUAUAGAAUGAGUUUGAGGGCUAAAAAUCAAUGUUUUUCAACCCAAUCGGCAGGAUGGCUUCCUCCAUUCAGGAUUCUAGCUUUGCCUUUUCCAGGGAGGAGCAGAUGGUGGGGAACCCUGACAAGGAGGUCUGCGAGCUGGUCCUGAGGCAGUAGCCAGCUUUGGAACCAGAACUCCCAGAUAGGCUUCCUUUCCUAGAAGAUGGAUUUCAAGGGCCAGUGGUCCUGCCUGUGUCCAGAGUGAAUUUAGGGAAUGUACAGUCAGAAAAGCAGAGUUCAGAAGGGAAGUGGGAGACUCUUUAGGGGUUAAAUGACAUAGGGGAAAUUAAUCUGAAAGGCUCCACUGAGUUGUAGUUAAGAGACAUGAUUUAAUAAAUUUGGCUAAUUUAAUUAUCCCAAGAGACAUCUGCUGAGCACGAUUUAAUCUGUGUAUUUAAGUAGAAAAGUGCCCUCACUCUUAAGGAAAACUAGAUGCAGGGAAAUAGAAACAUCAGAGGCUGACUGCUGGAAGGAACUGAACAAUUCUAGUUGCAGUUCUAGAAGAAAAAGAAAAUCACAGGAAAAGAAGCUGAUAAGAGGAUUUUGUUUUUAAAAAAUCUCCAACACUAUGUGUGGGUGGAUGAUAUAAACUCAGUCAUAUCUUAUGUUUUUCAUAUACCUUUUCCAAUAUUAAGCAAGAAGGGACCAUGAGCUCUUCAAUUCAAGAAACACCUAGCACGUUACAGAUAGGCUAAUUAGAUAUGUCUUUUUUUUUUGGUCUUUUUAGGGCCGCACCCACCUCAUAUGGAGGUUCCCAGGAUAGGGGUCCAAUUGGAGCUGUAGCCACCUGCCGAUGCCACAGCCAAAGCAAAGCAGGAUCUGAGCCGCAUCUGGGACCUAUACCACAGCUCACAGCAAUGCCAGAUCCUUAACCCACUGAGCAAGGCCAAGGAUCAAACCUGUGUCCUCAUGGAUGCUAGUUGGGUUUGUUAACCAUUGAGCCAUGAUGCGAAUUCCCUAAUUAGAAAUGUCUUGACUCAGUGUGUUCACGAUAAUAUUCCUUAGAGUAGAUUGAAGUCUACUCAAUAUUCUGUGAUAAUCUAUAUGGAAAUGGAAAUAUGUAUAACUGAAUCACUUUGUUAUACUGCAGAAAUUAACACAAUAUUGUAAAUCAAAAAUACUUCAAUAGAAUUUUUUAAAAAUAAUAAUCUUUAGUGUAAGCUGUAUUAUUGACAAA